rnacentral:rRNA from 1 species
UACGAAGGGGGCUAGCGUUGCUCGGAAUCACUGGGCGUAAAGCGCACGUAGGCGGCUUACUAAGUCAGGGGUGAAAUCCUGGAGCUCAACUCCAGAACUGCCUUUGAUACUGGUGAGCUUGAGUCCGGGAGAGGUGAGUGGAACUGCGAGUGUAGAGGUGAAAUUCGUAGAUAUUCGCAAGAACACCAGUGGCGAAGGCGGCUCACUGGCCCGGUACUGACGCUGAGGUGCGAAAGCGUGGGGAGCAAACAGG